AACGACUCUCGGCAACGGAUAUCUNGGCUCUCGCAUCGAUGAAGAACGUAGCGAAAUGCGAUACUUGGUGUGAAUUGCAGAAUCCCGCGAACCAUCGAGUCUUUGAACGCAAGUUGCGCCCGAAGCCGUUCGGCCGAGGGCACGUCUGCCUGGGCGUCACGC
rnacentral:rRNA from 1 species